rnacentral:rRNA from 1 species
CGCCAGACUCCUACGGGAGGCAGCAGUGGGGAAUAUUGCACAAUGGGGGAAACCCUGAUGCAGCGACGCCGCGUGAGUGAAGAAGUAUUUCGGUAUGUAAAGCUCUAUCAGCAGGGAAGAAAAUGACGGUACCUGAUUAAGAAGCCCCGGCUAACUACGUGCCAGCAGCCGCGGUAAUACGUAGGGGGCAAGCGUUAUCCGGAUUUACUGGGUGUAAAGGGAGCGUAGACGGUGAUGCAAGUCAGAAGUGAAAGCCCGGGGCUCAACUCCGGGACUGCUUUUGAAACUGUGUGACUGGAGUGCAGGAGAGGUAAGCGGAAUUCCUAGUGUAGCGGUGAAAUGCGUAGAUAUUAGGAGGAACACCAGUGGCGAAGGCGGCUUACUGGACUGUAACUGACGUUGAGGCUCGAAAGCGUGGGGAGCAAACAGGAUUAGAUACCCUAGUAAG